AAAUACAAGGAUGAAAACCCCGUUAGAAAGGUCUUAGAAACCAGGUACCAUUUCAUUGGCUCCAGCCGUUGUGAAGUUAAGAUAGCAUACCCUAAAGAAAAUCUUGCAAGACAGCUGAGUAAAAGAAAGACUAUAGCUAAGGAUAGGACAAGAAAAUCUGUUCCAGCUACGGAGUUAGAAAACAAUUGGAGAGGAGGAGGCAGCCCAAGCUUUCACGUUAUGGCUAACCCCAAUGCUCAAGAAGCCAACCAAGAUGCCGACAGAGCUGGCUCAUAUACUUGUAGAGCAAACUCAGAUGUAACUUCGGCAAAUGCCCAUAGUUUCAGGGAUACCCCCAACGCUUUUCAGGUGAAUUCCAAUGAUUUUGUGACAAAUUCAACUGCUUUCUUGGCAAGCAAUAAUGCUUUGAAUUCAAGCUCAAAUACUGUAAGGGUAAGCCACUAUGAUCUGGAGGCAAACCCAAAUACCUUCUUGGCAAGCCAGUAUACUCUUGGGACAAUUCCAAACACCUUAAGAACAAGCCAAUACACUUUGGGAACAUACCCAAAUGCUUUAGGAGUAAGCCAUUAUGCUUUGGCAACAUACCCAGAUACGUUCGAGAUAAACCAAUAUGCUUUGGGGGCAAACCAAAAUGCUUUUGGGGCAAGCCGGUAUAGUUUGGGUACAAACUCAGAUACUUUCAGUACAAACCGCUAUGCUCUUGUGGCAAAUCCAUACAAUAUCUGGACAAACCACUACGUUUUAGCGACAAACCCAAAUGUUUUCAGGACAAGCCAGUAUAUUCUUGGGGCAAACCCAAAUGCCUUCGGAUCAAGUCAGUAUUCUGUGGGAGCAACCCAAAACAACUCUGGACCAAAUCAACAUAGCUUCGGAGCAAAUGGAAACUUUGGUGGGGCAGCUGGAAGUGGUGGAAGCAUUGGAGGACUCAAUUUUUCUCAAGUAUAUGGCAAUUUGCUGAAUGACUGCAAUACACUGCCAGCUUUCCACGGCUCUAAUGGCGAUUAUUUCGUCCUCUACAGUUAUGGGGCUUAUGAUGUAAGAUCUGCACCUAAUUACAAUGUGUAA
rnacentral:lncRNA from 1 species